GACGAACGCUGGCGGCGUGCCUAAUACAUGCAAGUAGAACGCACAGUUUAUACCGUAGCUUGCUACACCAUAGACUGUGAGUUGCGAACGGGUGAGUAACGCGUAGGUAACCUGCCUGGUAGCGGGGGAUAACUAUUGGAAACGAUAGCUAAUACCGCAUAAUAUUAAUUAUUGCAUGAUAAUUAAUUGAAAGGUGCAAUUGCACCACUACCAGAUGGACCUGCGUUGUAUUAGCUAGUAGGUGAGGUAACGGCUCACCUAGGCGACGAUACAUAGCCGACCUGAGAGGGUGAUCGGCCACGCUGGGACUGAAACACGGCCCAGACUCCUACGGGAGGCAGCAGUAGGGAAUCUUCGGCAAUGGACGAAAGUCUGACCGAGCAACGCCGCGUGAGUGAAGAAGGUUUUCGGAUCGUAAAGCUCUGUUGUAAGAGAAGAACGGGUGUGAGAGUGGAAAGUUCACACUGUGACGGUAUCUUACCAGAAAGGGACGGCUAACUACGUG
rnacentral:rRNA from 1 species